GCGGAUGUGGCGGAAUUGGCAGACGCGCUGGUUUCAGGUACCAGUGGGGGCAACCCCAUGGAGGUUCAACUCCUCUCAUCCGCA
rnacentral:tRNA from 1 species